UCCCUGGUGGCUUCGAUGGUGAAGCCUCUGCCUACAAUGCAGGAGACCCAGGUUCGAUCCCUGGGUCGGGAA
rnacentral:tRNA from 1 species